CCUGAUACACACCCUGUACUUACCUACAGACGAAACAUACCAAGAAGGACCAGCAUUAGUGCAACAUCAUAUUCUAUGCAAAAUUUGCUAUUUCAGGUUAUCAGUGAACUAUAAAAAUACAAAAUAAUCAUAUUAUUCUUUUCUUUUUCUUUUUCAAGUGUUCUCAUCCAACCAUCCAUUCUAACUCACACAACUGUUGGGGUCUUGUUUCUCACAUGUCCUCUGACACUCCGCCCCUUUGUGUCCUUGUUCAUAAUUUGAGCAGUUGAAGAACACCAUUGAAUCCACACAGUCUAAAACAACAGAUACAUGGAUGAGGAGCAGAAAACUUGCACAAAUCAUACCAGUGCUGCUGUAUCUCAGUGAGAUCUCAAUUUUAAUUUGGCAGGUGGAACUGCUGAAGAGAUUAUUCCUGAUGGCUUUAUGACCUGGUUGCCACUGAAACAAGGACACUGGUCAGCAGUCACACAUCUACUGUCAUCAUUGAGUGCUGGCUACAAUAUACAACUGCAUGACUGGAGCCAACUGGAUCUCUAGACGAAGACUCUUCAUAUCAGCAAUGAUGAAAGAGGAAGAGGGCUGGAAGAUGCUCACAGGACCUGGGGCAA